GACGAACGCUGGCGGCGUGCUUAACACAUGCAAGUCGAGCGGUAAGGCCCUUUCGGGGGUACACGAGCGGCGAACGGGUGAGUAACACGUGGGUGACCUGCCCUUAGCUCUGGGAUAAGCCUGGGAAACUGGGUCUAAUACCGGAUAUGACCUCAUGACUCAUGUUGUGGGGUGGAAAGCCUUGUGCGGCUAGGGAUGGGCCCGCGGCCUAUCAGCUUGUUGGUGGGGUAAUUGCCUACCAAGGCGACGACGGGUAGCCGGCCUGAGAGGGCGACCGGCCACACUGGGACUGAGACACGGCCCAGACUCCUACGGGAGGCAGCAGUGGGGAAUCUUGCGCAAUGGGCGAAAGCCUGACGCAGCGACGCCGCGUGAGGGAUGACGGCCUC
rnacentral:rRNA from 1 species